rnacentral:rRNA from 1 species
GAUGAACGCUGGCGGCGUGCCUAAUACAUGCAAGUCGAGCGAACGGACGAGAAGCUUGCUUCUCUGAUGUUAGCGGCGGACGGGUGAGUAACACGUGGAUAACCUACCUAUAAGACUGGUAUAACUUCGGGAAACCGGAGCUAAUACCGGAUAAUAUUUUGAACCGCAGGGUUCAAAAGUGAAAGACGGUCUUGCUGUCACUUCUAGAUGGAUCCGCGCUGCAUUAGCUAGUUGGUAAGGUAACGGCUUACCAAGGCAACGAUGCAUAGCCGACCUGAGAGGGUGAUCGGCCACCCUGGAACUUAGACACGGUCCAGACUCCUACGGGAGGCAGCAGUCGGGAAUCUUCCGCAAUGGGCGAAAGCCUGACGGAGCAGCGCCGCGUGAGUGAUGAAGGUCUUCGGAGCGUAAAACUCUGUUAUUAGUGAAGAACAUAUGUGUAAGUAACUGUGCACAGCGUGACGGUACCUAAUCAGAAAGCCACGGCUAACUACGUG